rnacentral:rRNA from 1 species
UUAGGCCUACGGGGGGCAGCAGUGAGGAAUAUUGGUCAAUGGGCGGAAGCCUGAACCAGCCAAGUCGCGUGAGGGAAUAAGGCCCUACGGGUCGUAAACCUCUUUUGUCGGGGAGCAACGAGGCCACGUGUGGCCGAAGUGAGAGUACCCGAAGAAAAAGCAUCGGCUAACUCCGUGCCAGCAGCCGCGGUAAUACGGAGGAUGCGAGCGUUAUCCGGAUUUAUUGGGUUUAAAGGGUGCGUAGGCGGAACAUUAAGUCAGCGGUAAAAUCGAGGGGCUCAACCCCUUUAAGCCGUUGAAACUGG